rnacentral:lncRNA from 1 species
AAAUGCUUCAUGUAUGAAAUAUUUUUGUUCAUGAUCUCCAUUAUGUACAGCCACAUCUGGCUGGUGUUAACAUGAAAGAGGUGACGGAUGUUGAGUGUUCAAGAUCCUCCAAGAGAUUUAGAUGGAUUACUCUGAGUGGAAACAAAAAGAGGAAUAAAUUUGUGGAGGCAAUGAUAUUUGGAAAAUUAUUGCUCUCUGAGGCACAUCUCCAGACUUUGAUUUGGCUGAAGUAACUUCUACCACAGAGCUGUGGGCAUGCCUGGGAUUGAGAAACACAGUUAAAAGACUCCCAGUUGCUUCUUGCCUUUUGAAAACUUCUGAAAACCAUCCCUUCAGACCCCAGAAUUGUACCCAUCUCAACCAAGACUUUGCUUGAAUGUUUACAUUUUCUGCUUCCUAUUCUACCUAUCACUGUUUAGCAUUCACCUUUUGUUAAAAUUUAGGAGUGUCAGGAUUG